GGGCGGCUAGUUCAGUGGUAGAACGCGUAACUGAUAAUUACGAAGUCAUAGGUUCGAUUCCUAUGCCGCCCA
rnacentral:tRNA from 1 species